AAAAGUAAAAAACAAUUUUCCCCCCUCUUCCCUCUCAUCUUGCCGCUCGGUUCCAUCGCAAAAUCCCUAAAAUUGAUUUGAAGCACAAAAUCCCUAAAAUCCCUAGCGGUGUCCGAUAGAAAUCCCUCUCAUCUUGCCGCUCAAUUUUCCCCCAAAAUCCCCAAACCAGCGACGGGCGACCGGCGACGAACGGCGAAGGGCUAGCGGUGGUGCGGUGGUGCGGCGACGACGAACGGCGAAGGGCUAGCGGCGGUGCUUCGACGACGACAGCAACUCAGAUAUUUCCUUAGUUGCAGUUUGCUUCUUGUGGAAUGCGGGCGUAUAAAGAUUAUAACCAGCUUUUAUUUUUUUAACCCACGAAGGAAGCAAGACGAAAACUUUUGGUUUUGAUUUUGAUUUAUGUUAUUUAAAUUUGUGAACAAUAUUAUGUAUGUAUUAUGCGACAUUAUGUAGUGGUAUAAUUUUUAUUUCUGUAUUGUUAUGAAUGGAACAAUAUUAUGAAUGUUCAUCA